CGAGUCGGUCGGACGGUCGCGUCGGCGGUUGCCCUCGGGCGCCGUCGCCGAGGAACGUCCGGGCUCCGAAGGGCAAGGUGGUGGCUAACGGCCACCCGGGGUGACCCGCGGGACAGUGCCACAGAAAACAGACCGCCGUCGCCGGGCGACCGGUGGCGGUCAGGGUGAAACGGUGGUGUAAGAGACCACCAGCGCGGCCGGUGACGGUCGUGGCUAGGUAAACCCCACCUGGAGCAAGGUCAGACAGGGAGCGUUCGAGGGUUGCCCGCCCGAUGCUCCCGGGUAGACCGCUCGAGCCCUGCGGCAACGCAGGGCCUAGAUGGAUGACCGUCGCCCGCGCGGGGGUGACCCCGCGCGGGAACAGAACCCGGCGUACAGACCGGCUCGUCCG
rnacentral:RNase_P_RNA from 2 species